AUUGAACGCUGGCGGCAUGCCUUACACAUGCAAGUCGAACGGCAGCACGGGAGCAAUCCUGGUGGCGAGUGGCGAACGGGUGAGUAAUAUAUCGGAACGUGCCCAGUCGUGGGGGAUAACGCAGCGAAAGCUGUGCUAAUACCGCAUACGAUCUAUGGAUGAAAGCGGGGGAUCGCAAGACCUCGCGCGAUUGGAGCGGCCGAUAUCCGAUUCGCUAGUUGGUGGGGUAAAGGCCCACCAAGGCGACGAUCUGUAGCUGGUCUGAGAGGACGACCAGCCACACUGGAACUGAGACACGGUCCAGACUCCUACGGGAGGCAGCAGUGGGGAAUUUUGGACAAUGGGCGCAAGCCUGAUCCAGCAAUGCCGCGUGCAGGAUGAAGGCCUUCGGGUUGUAAACUGCUUUUGUACGGAACGAAACGGCCCUUUCUAAUACAGGGGGCUAAUGACGGUACCGUAAGAAUAAGCACCGGCUAACUACGUGCCAGCCGCCGCCGUAAUAC
rnacentral:rRNA from 1 species